rnacentral:tRNA from 6 species
CGGAAUGUAGCUCAGCUUGGUAGAGCACUUGGUUUGGGACCAAGGGGUCGCAGGUUCGAAUCCUGUCAUUCCGACCA